rnacentral:sRNA from 1 species
CUAUAAACCUGAUCAUGUAGAAAUCCUUUUUAAUUUCCAGUAACUUAUCUUUUUAGCGCAGCUUUAAAAAGAUUGGAACGAGAGCAGGACUGCUG